AGUAAUCUCUGGAAGCAUCAGAAGCUGCUGUCCAUCGACCUGGACAAAGUGGUGUUACCCAACUUCCGAUCGAGUCGCCUCAAGUGCGACCCCUCUCCCCCGGAGAAAGUGUGGUGCCUGGGACAUUCCUGGAGGGAUCAUGCCUGGCCGCUAUAACCAGGAAGUGGGUCAGACCAUUCCUGUCUUCGCCUUCCUGGGAGCCAUGGUGGUCCUGGCCUUCUUUGUGGUACAGAUCAACAAGGCCAAGAGCAGGCCGAAGCGGAGGAAGCCCAGGGUGAAGCGCCCCCAGCUCAUGCAGCAGGUGCACCCCCCGAAGACCCCGUCGGUGUGACCAGAGACUGACCACGCGAGCCGCCAUGGGCAGGUGCAGCUGUGAGGGCCGCCUCCGUGCAGGGCUCCAGCGGCCGUGCCGAAUGAGCCCCCCGUCCUGUGAUGCUCGGCCCAGCCGGAGGGACUCCUGCUCAGCCUCAGGUGGCUUCACGCUGGGCAGCUGUGAGCACCAAAGACCCCGGGGGGAGCUGCCGAGGCGGCCCGCGCUGCCAGCCUGAGGGGAAAGACGCACUUCCCGGACCGGCGGCACGCCCUGACCAAGCUGAAGUCUGCUUGUUAAUGGCUGUUUUCUAUAUUUAUUGUUGGGGAAAAGUCACUUUAAAGACUUGUGCUAUUGGAAGCGAAGCUAUUUUUUGUGUCAGUGGAAUGCAGUUUUUACUAUUACGUCGUCGCGGAAGAACACAGAUUCCAUGAUCUCCUUUUGGAUGAGCGACAGACUGGUUUGAGGAAACCUGCACAAAUCAGAAACAUAGACCUUCGCUUUAUUUUUAUAACUGUCCACUGCCAUCUGUUUUGUAAUUGGGGAUCUCGAUUUCACCGUUGUGGGUGAAGACGGCAUCCCCUGUGUGACGCUGACGGGCCUGCGCUGGGGUCUUUUUCCACCUCUGCUUUUCUCUUUGAUGACAACCUGGAAUGAGUUCUGAACCAGCCUGUCCCUUUUUUAUUGAGAUAAAAUUCACAUACCAUAAAAUUCUCCAUUUUAAAGCAUA